AAAAGACUAAAAGCACUCUUAUCAACUAACUACAAACUGGGGAAUACAUAUUCUGAACGCUGUGACGUUGUGAAUGUGGGAGGCAGGAGGAGGACACUGUCUCAGAUUUGCUGUUGGCCCUGGAAAGAAAGAAGAUGGAAAAGGAAGCUAUUAAAAAUCAGCCAUACAACAGGUUCAGUCACGUUUGCUGUUCCUGCUAACAGCAAUGGCUGUAAAUGAAAGAAGCUCUGGAUAUCUCCGAUAACACGCUGGAUCCAUGAGCCUCAGCAGCAGCCAGUGAGGGUGUGAAGCUCUCAGUGCUGCUCAGGAAGCACUCAGACCCUACUGGGAUGACUUCCAGUGCACAUCUUCCAUCGCAGCUGGAGCACUGCAGCUAGAGCGUGGUGCCGCCUGUGACUGCGAGGGUACAGAGGGAGAACAAGCAGGCUGAAGGCACGGGAACAGUUGUUGCCCAGGGGAAUUGCAAAAGGCCAGUACGUUGCAUCUUCGCUGUUUUUCGGGGUCUCAUCCUCAAAUCUGUGAACCAGCCAUCACCCAUUUGAAAGUGAUUCAUUGCUGGGUCAUCCAAAGGCCAUUUUCAUGUCAUUCCUGUUCUUGGAGGCAGGAACUUGGUAAUGAGUUCCAGCAAGACAAUCAAACCCUCCCCACAUCAUGUUGCAAUGUCCUGGUACCGCGGUGCCGUCCCGGGAGCCCUGCGCGCUGCGUCACCGCUGCAGCCCUGGCACGCACACAAGGACAGUGGCACUGAAAGGGCCGUGCUGAUCCCUCUCCAGAGAGCAGGGCAUCAUCCUGCCCAGCAGCAGGAAUUUUCUCUGAGGCUCAACCCAAGCAUUCCAAACCACUUUGCGAUACACCUAUUUCCUAGCUAGUGUUACCUGCUAUGGAAUGUGAUGCUAACUUUCCACAGGCAAGUUAACAGACUGGCCUUUCAUAUUUAAAGCUGUGCCAUUAAAUAAAUGGCCCGACUUUCACAUUUUUAAUUACAGUUGAAGUUGUUGGGUAUCUGGGAAAGCACUAAUCAAGAGAAUUUCAGUAUUUUACUUUCCAAGUGUGCCUGUGAAAGCACGGACUCAUUAGGAAUUUUCAGCUUUAGGCAAGUCUGUAGUGAAAGAAAAUUAUAAGGAGUACCCAAGAAAAUUAUAUUUAUUGCAUGUGCAUGAUUUGGAAGAUGGAUAGAUUCAGAGAAAAGACAACCACAUGCCUAAAGUGUUAAUCUGGAGCUGAGGAGAUUUCAGUGCAGCUGUUGGCUUUGGAACAGAGGUUUGUGAAUCUGGGAUAGUUGAUUAAGCCAGGAUUUGCCAAAUCCUCAUCAGAGAUGAGACUGUCAUUCUCAAAGGUCCUGCCAGAGCAAAUUAAUUACUGCUGAGGACUGAAAUUUUAUUUCUUUGUGCCUGACUUCUCCUCAACACAAUAACAUGUCUCCAUGCAGACUGAAGGUGCCUGUCUCCCAGUCAGUCUUGAGUUACUGAGGCUUUCAGGAUCAUUUAUAGAGGUUCAGAAAAAGAAACUGAAAAAAUCCACAGUAUGGAGAAAAGUUAGCAGCCUUGAGAACUUCAUGAUUAAUAUUUUAAUACUUCCAUACAUAUAUAUGCAUUUUUAAAAAAAACAGGAGUAGAGGAUUGCCAUGGAUUACAUGGAUUAAGUAAGGAAUUGGCACAAUUCUCAAACACAAGUAGUACAGAGCUUGGACAAUGUAAGUGAUACUGGGUUUUCUUUCUUUCAAAAGUAGGGCUUGGGAGUAUACUUGGAAGUAUGGACCUUGAAAGAAACAUCAACUUUAUUCUGGAUGAUUCUGUAAGUUUUGUGUGAAACAACACAAAUUAUCUUAUAAUAAUAAUCUUACCUUUACAUAAUGUUAUCUUUAAUGUUUCAGACACUUUAACCCUUUAAAAAGAAAUAGUGUAAAUCUGUGACUCAGAAAAAUAGUGUCUUGUUUCCUUUGUUUCUGGGACAGAUCUGCCUUUUAAUCCUUUGGAAAGGAUUCAAGCAAUAUAUUUCACCUUCAACAUAUUUUAUAAACAAAUAAACUAUCACAAGAAAAAGAUUUGAGGUGGAUUACCAUUUCACUCCACACCUCAGAGCCAGGAAAUUCAGCCACCAGUGACACACUGGUUUCAACGCAGCCCAUUUUGUUUUCAUAGUAGUGUCUGUUACAGACACCACCUGAAAGCUGAACUUCCUGCUUGAAGCUACACAGGUAUCAAUCCUUUAAUGAAGGAUAUGCAUGAUUUAUUUCUCUUCUC